rnacentral:rRNA from 1 species
CCCUUAGACGUUCUGGGCCGCACGCGCGCUACACUGACCAGUGCAACAAGCAUCCGUCCUUGGCCGACAGGCCCGGGCAAUCUCUGAACACGCAUCGUGAUGGGGAUAGAUUAUUGUAAUUAUUAAUCUUCAACGAGGAAUUCCUAGUAAUGAUGAAUCAUCAGUUCAUCGUGAUUACGUCCCUGCCCUUUGUACACACCGCCCGUCGCUCCUACCGAUUGAGCAAUCCGGUGAAUACUUCGGACCGCUACGCAGGCUGGUUCCCAGUCUGUGUUCUGGAAAGUCGAGUAAACCUUNUNGCUUAGNGGAAGGAGAANUCGUANCA